rnacentral:rRNA from 1 species
UACGUAGGGUGCGAGCGUUGUCCGGAUUUAUUGGGCGUAAAGAGCUUGUAGGCGGCUCGUCACGUCGGGUGUGAAAACUCGCGGCUCAACCGCGAGCCUGCACCCGAUACGGGCGGGCUAGAGUUCGGCAGGGGAGACUGGAAUUCCUGGUGUAGCGGUGGAAUGCGCAGAUAUCAGGAGGAACACCGGUGGCGAAGGCGGGUCUCUGGGCCGAUACUGACGCUGAGAAGCGAAAGCGUGGGGAGCGAACAGGAUUAGAUACCCUGGUAGUCCACGCCGUAAACGUUGGGAACUAGGUGUGGGGUCCAUUCCACGGGCUCUGUGCCGCAGCUAACGCAUUAAGUUCCCCGCCUGGGGAGUACGGCCGCAAGGCUAAA